rnacentral:rRNA from 1 species
GACGAACGCUGGCGGCGUGCUUAACACAUGCAAGUCGAACGGUAAGGCCCCAGCUUGCUGGGGUACACGAGUGGCGAACGGGUGAGUAACACGUGGGUGACCUGCCCCGCACUUCGGGAUAAGCCUGGGAAACUGGGUCUAAUACCGGAUAGGACCGCACCGUGCGGGUGUGGUGGAAAGAUUUUUGGGGUGGGAUGGGACGGCGGCCUAUCAGCGUGCUGGUGGGGUAGUGGCCUACUAAGGCGGGGACGGGUAGCCGGCCUGGGAGGGUGGACGGCCACAUUGGGACAGAGGUACGGCCCAGACGCGUACGGGAGGCAGCAGUGGGGAAUAUUGCACAAUGGGCGGAAGCCUGAUGCCGCAACGCCGCGUGCGGGAUGACGGCCUUCGGGUUGUAAACCGCUUUCGCCGGGGACGAAGCGUGCGUGACGGUAAUGGGUAAAGAAGCACCGGCUAACUACGUG